ACCGCUGGAUGAGGGGGCCCUCGGCCGGUGUUGGUCGUCGGCGUCGAAGGAGGCGGAGGUCGACGACGACUUCCACGGCUCGAAGCCGCUCUGGACCUUGGAGGCCAGCGAGAGCUGCAAGGGCGGCGAGGAGGCGGCGGCGGCGGCGGCGGAGAUCGAGUACCGCCGGAUGAGGGGGCGCUCGGCCGGUGCUGGUCGUUGGCGUCGAAGGAGGCGGAGGUCGACAACGACUUCCGCGGCUCGAAGCCGCUCUGGAUCUUGGAGGCCAGCGGGAGCUGCGAGGGCGGCGAGGAGGGGGCGGUGGCGGCGGCGGAGAUCGAGUACCGCCGGACUAGGAGGGCGCUCAGCCGGUGCCGAUCGUCGCUGUCGAA
rnacentral:lncRNA from 1 species